CUGCCCCUCGCUCCCUCACGCACCCACAAUCCCUCCCCCGAAACCCUUGCUGCCGCCACCUACGCCUCUUGCUCCGUCGUGUUCCGGCGGGCCUCGCCGACUGUGCUCCGCCCUCUUCGACGCCCACCAACCUAGCCGCAUGGCACGGCCAUGGCCAUGGCGGCGGCCGGAUCCACCCCCUCCCUCAUCUCCUCGCUGCCGCCACCUCCUCCCCGUCCUACAGCGGCGUGUCCCACCACCACCUCCUUCCUCGAUGCGUCCCGCAGCGACGCCCAUCGCGUCCCGCAGAUGCCGUCCCUCUCCCUCAAUCCCCACCGCGUUCCCCAAUCCCCACCCCAACCAAAAUCUUCCCCAUCUCCCCCGGCCGAUUUUCCUCCCGUCCGCGUCCCCUUCCCCACCCCCGCUCCCAGAUCACGCCGCGCGCCGCCCCUGACAUCCGUGGGAACCCCACCCCGCCACCGACGAGGCCCGAUCCCCCGGGGGCCCAGCCAAGAUGGUGCUCGCGUAGCUGGGUUGGUUGGGCAUGAGAAUCCAGAAGACUGACCGUCGGGGCCUUGCGGGAAGCGGCCAGUGAAGACGACGAGGACAAGGACGGCCACCAUGAGGAGGGCGGCGAAGGGCGCGCCGACCCUGCGGCGCUAGAUGCUGCCCAGCUCAUGAGGCCCCAGCCGAGCUCGGCGUGCCCUCCUGCUCAAGCUGCUCCAGCCACUAGCGGCUCCUGCCCGCCUUGGCAUCCCGCGCCCGCCGCCCCUAGGUCCUUCACCAGCGCGGCCUGCCGCAGCUCAUACACCGCCUCCUCGUUCGUCGUCCGCGUCACCACCAGGCUCGGCCUCGGCGCCGCGCCGCCCCUCGACCUCCAUGCCACAGCGGGGAGCAGGCCAUCGCCCAUGUGUACUUAAGACGUCGCAUCCACCACCUCCGUCGCCAGAUCCAAAGCAGAUUUAGGGUGGAUAUGGAGGUGGCGCUGCAGGCGUGUGAUGCCGCGGACUGGGUCUACAAGGGAGAGGGCGCGGCGAAUCUCAUCCUCAGCUACACCGGCUCCUCACCCUCCAUGCUUGGCAAGGUAAUGCGGGCCAAGAAGGUCCUAAAUGACAAGGCACAACCAGCACCAAACUAUGUAAACUUCUCAAGCUACGAGCAGCUCAUGUGGGGUGACAUCCCAGAAUUGAUCGAGUCUGUCAAGCAAGGUUCUGUGGCUCAAGCUUAUGCGGUACAUGUCAUGAGCCAACAUGCCGUCUUCAGGGAGCUCUGCAACAUGCUGGAUCCAGGGAAGCCGGUCUUCAACCCCAAGAAGGGCAAGCCCAGCGUCUUCAUGUCCUGGUUCAAGAGGCCCAUCAUCUACGACGUCCGCGCGCGACCCAACCUCGUCGAGAGCACCUCCGGGAGCCGGGAUCUCCAGAUGCCAUGGGCAAGGGACAGACUUGCAUCGACAUCGUGGUCAUUGCCGAAUCGGUAGUAUUGCUAUAUCCGUAGUAUUGUUCUACCGGUAGUAUUGCUGUACAAGUUUACUGUAGUAUUUUGGAGCUCUGGUUUGAAGAUGUUCCUGGGUGUUUACUUCAUAGAUGUUCCUGGGUGUUCCUGGGUGUUUGUUUACUUCAUAGAUGUUCCUGGAUGUUCCUGGCUGUUUGCACUUCUUGGGUGGGUGUUUGCGCUUCCUGAGUGUUCUAAAUUCCUGGAUGAUGUGGACUACCGCAUGAUUGUAAUAUAUAUAAUAUACUCAUUUUGGACGUCAUUUUUGAAAAUUUGUGUGGUUGAAAUAUUGGAAAUAUUGAUCA